AAGUCCAAUUCCCCUCUCCUUGCAGGACCACCAAAAACUAAACCUUGUGACAAAGAGUGUCCUCCAGAUGCUCCUUGAACUGUCACGUUUGGUGCCAUGAGCACUGCUCUGGGGAGCCUGUUCCAGGGACCAACCACCUCCCAGAGAAGAGCCUUGUCCUAAUGUCCAACCUGAACUUCCCCUGGCAGCUUCACUCCAUUCCCUCGUGCCCUGCCCUGGUCAGAGGGAGGAGAUCAGCACCUCCCCUCAAGGAAGGUGCAGCUGCCAGGAGACCCCCUCAGCCUCCUCUUGUCCAGGCUGAACAAGACAAGGCACCUCAGCCACUCCUUCAUUCCCACUCCUCGUGUUUACAGCCUGUUACUUCCUGAUGGUUGCCCUCUCCUUGCUUUGGAUCUCAGAAAAGUGAAAUGUUGAUAUUGAAAGAGAAAUUCAUCUGUGUGAUGAGUAGUUACCCGGCAUAGAAGCUGUCAAACCAUGGAAGUGUCUUACAACUGCCAUAGAAUAAUGAAAAUAUUCUUUAAAACUGUGACAACUGCAAAGUGAAACAGAAAAUGAAGCUGCCUACACCUGGAGACUGCUCUCCCCUGUGUGAGCACAUCAGCCUCUGCUCUGGACUGCACAGCAGGUUUCAUGGAAUCACAGAAUCCUCUGAGUUGGAAGGGACCCACGAGGAUCAUCGAGUCCAACUCUUCCAUGACUGGGCUGGACAGGGAUUAAACCCACAACCUUGGUGUUAUUAACACCGUGCUGUAACCAAGGGACAGACAGACCAUUCUGCUUCCCGUUUCCCCUCUGCCAAAACAAGGCAUUGCUGCAGUCCUGUUUUGGAGGAGAUGGGAGAUCUGCCAGGAUCCCAAGGGCAAGCAGCUCCUUGCAAAGGAUAAGCCUUGGUGUGGAGCAGGAUGGCUGAUGGAGCCUCACCAUGGUCAGGGGCACCCAUAGACAAGCAAAGGCAGCUCAGGCUGGAGGAAGUCUCAGCUCACUUGAGGAGAAGCUGAGGAAAACCUCUGGCCAGUGCAGAGCACAAUUCCAGCCUUUCAGAGAAUGCAGUCUACAUAAUGAAUGUGGUUUUUCAGGAGUCAAAAUAAAGAUGGACAUGAAGCUUCAAA